GACGAACGCUGGCGGCGUGCUUAACACACGCAAGUCGAACGGAAAGGCCCUGCUUUUGUGGGGUGCUCGAGUGGCGAACGGGUGAGUAACACGUGAGUAACCUGCCCUUGACUUUGGGAUAACUUCAGGAAACUGGGGCUAAUACCGGAUAGGAGCUCCUGCUGCAUGGUGGGGGUUGGAAAGUUUCGGCGGUUGGGGAUGGACUCGCGGCUUAUCAGCUUGUUGGUGGGGUAGUGGCUUACCAAGGCUUUGACGGGUAGCCGGCCUGAGAGGGUGACCGGCCACAUUGGGACUGAGAUACGGCCCAGACUCCUACGGGAGGCAGCAGUGGGGAAUAUUGCACAAUGGGCGGAAGCCUGAUGCAGCAACGCCGCGUGCGGGAUGACGGCCUUCGGGUUGUAAACCGCUUUCGCCUGUGACGAAGCGUGAGUGACGGUAAUGGGGAAAGAAGCACCGGCUAACUACGU
rnacentral:rRNA from 1 species